AUGAAAAAGUCUGUGUGGUAGAAAAACAGGCCUUUUGACAAUAGGCAGCAAACAACUGAUGGCCCCUGUCAAUGACUUACCAAGGAACUGAGACCUUCUUCCAAAGUUCUAGAGCCUAGAAGUCUGAAAUCAGAGUGCCAGCAUGGUUGAGUUCUGGUGAGAACCCUCUUCAGGGUUGCAGAAUGUGGUCUUUAUUAUUGCCUCACAUGGUGGAAAAAGAAGCUGCAGGGCUCCAAGUGCUGUCCUGGGUGUGGCAGCACGGUGCCAUCUGGAGCACCCCCAGGACCAGAGACUUACUUAGUCCAGCGAAGCAGAGACACUGCACGUUACUAGAACCCAGGGUGAUGGCUCUACAGUUCCAGAUCCUGACCCUCCUGGUAGACACUUCUGCUUCUCAGGCCCAGGAUUUAAUCUGUGGCAAGACAGAGCUGAACCACCGGUCAUGUAUGACAUUAGGCACCUUGGGGCAGUCCUGAUUUUUUUUCUUGAAUAAAUCUUACCACUACAUCUAAUCAUGGGUCCUUGAGAUGUUUUUCUUGUGACU